rnacentral:rRNA from 1 species
AAAUAGAUACCCCGGUAGUCCACGCCCUAAACGAUGCGAACUGGAUGUUGGGUACAUUACGGUACUCAGUGUCGAAGCUAACGCGUUAAGUUCGCCGCCUGGGGAGUACGGUCGCAAGACUGAAACUCAAAGGAAUUGACGGGGGCCCGCACAAGCGGUGGAGUAUGUGGUUUAAUUCGAUGCAACGCGAAGAACCUUACCUGGCCUUGACAUCUGUCGAAUCCUGCAGAGAUGCGGGAGUGCCGCAAGGAACGACAAGACAGGUGCUGCAUGGCUGUCGUCAGCUCGUGUCGUGAGAUGUUGGGUUAAGUCCCGCAACGAGCGCAACCCUUGUCCCUAGUUGCCAACACGUAAUGGUGGGAACUCUAGGGAGACUGCCGGUGACAAACCGGAGGAAGGUGGGGAUGACGUCAAGUCCUCAUGGCCCUUACGGCCAGGGCUACACACGUACUACAAUGGUCGGUACAGAGGGUCGCGAAGCCGCAAGGUGGAGCCAAUCCCAGAAAACCGAUCCCAGUCCGGAUUGGAGUCUGCAACUCGACU